CCGCGGGAGAGACCGGCAGCCUCGGGCGACACAGUCCAGCGCAAGGCCGGCGCCGAAGGCGCAACACCGCCCGGAAUCGCUCAGGCAAAAGGACCGCGGC
rnacentral:ncRNA from 1 species